GAUGAACGCUGGCGGCGUGCCUAAUACAUGCAAGUCGAGCGAACAGACGAGGAGCUUGCUCCUCUGACGUUAGCGGCGGACGGGGGAGUAACACGUGGAUAACCUACCUAUAAGACUGGGAUAACUGCGGGAAACCGGAGCUAAUACCGGAUAAUAUAUUGAACCGCAUGGUUCAAUAGUGAAAGACGGGUUUGCUGUCACUUAUAGAUGGAUUCGCGCCGCAUUAGCUAGUUGGUAAGGUAACGGCUUACCAAGGCAACGAUGCGUAGCCGACCUGAGAGGGUGAUCGGCCACACUGGAGCUGAGACACCGUCCAGGCUCCUACGGGAGGCCGCAGUAGCGAAUCGUCCGCAAUGGGCGAAAGCCUGACGGAGCAACGCCGCGUGAGUGAUGAAGGUCUUCGGAUCGUAAAACUCUGUUAUUAGUGAAGAACAAAUGUGGAAGUAACUAUGCACGUAUUGACGGUACCUAAUCAGAAAGCCACGGCUAACUACGUG
rnacentral:rRNA from 1 species